rnacentral:rRNA from 1 species
UACGAGUGCCUCAAGCGUUAUCCGGAAUUAUUGGGCGUAAAGGUUGUGUAGGUGGUUGUAUUAGUCUUCUGUUAAAUUCUUCGGCUUAACCGGGGGCAUGCAGGGGAAACGGUACAACUAGAGGAUGCGAGGGGUCUGUGGAACUCAUAGUGUAGCGGUGAAAUGCGUUGAUAUUAUGGGGAACACCAAAAGCGAAAGGCAGCAGACUGGGAGCA